CGUUCCCAUUCCGAACACGGAAGUUAAGCCCUCCAGGGCCGAUGAUACUAUAGCUGCGAGGCCAUGGGAAAGUAGGACGCCGCCGGAU
rnacentral:rRNA from 1 species